GUGCCGUUCGUGCAAGGAUUUACCCAUGUGACAUGGAAUUUUACUGAGGCGUCCCAUGGAAAGGGUGCUCCUGAUGGAGUGGGCGGCGCCCUGAAAAACCUGGCGGACAGAAUUGUGGCCUACGGUACCAGCAUACCAGAUGCCGACACUCUCUUUGAGCAGCUGAAUCACAAUUCAUCAGUGAGGCCCUUCAAAAUCACAGAGGAGGACAUAACAAGUGGCGAAUUAGUACCGCCGUACCUGAAGGCAGUACCUGGGACGAUGAGAAUUCAUCAGCUGACAUCGACAAAACCAGGCCUUAUUUACACCAGAGAAGUGUCCUGCUUUUGUGAUUUUGACUGUGGAUGCUUCAGUCCAAAAGAAUUUGAUUUUCAAGAGAAGGGGUCGUCAGAAAAGGAGAGUGUUGAGACAGUUUUGGAAGUGGGGAAGUGGGUCCUCGUUGAAUAUGAUGCAGGACUGUUCCCUGGCACUAUCACACAGAUUGUCAAUGAUCAAUAUGAGGUUGACACCAUGAGUUGUGCCGGAGCAAACAAAUUUUACUUUCCAUCUGUCCGAUUUGAUGGAGAAAAGGUCUGGUACUUCUUUCACGACAUAAAAUCCAUCAUCCCAGAGCCUCAACCUGCCACAUCCUCAGCUCGACACUUCUGUGUGUUGCCUGAGAUCUGGGCAAAGUAUUCAAACAGCUGUAGGCCCUAAGUGCAGUGGUAAAAUGGUUUGUUUCUUCUAAUGUAGCUUUUAACUUUACCCUGUUUAGCCCUUUCAAAUGUUUUUGCAUGGGUUGUUUUUAUUUGUUCUCUGUUUUGAGCCUAUGGUAUGUAUGCAGUGCAAAAUUAUAUUAUAUAUAUUAUUAAUUCUAUGAAAAAUGAAAUGUAGUGAAAUGUAAUGACAUUUAAUGAAAAGUGCAAAAUGAAAUUAAUUAUAUUAUAUUAUUAUAGCCAAUAUUAUCACAUGUAUU
ensembl:lncRNA